AUACGUAGGGGGCAAGCGUUGUCCGGAAUGAUUGGGCGUAAAGGGCGCGUAGGCGGCCCGGUAAGUCUGGAGUGAAAGUCCUGUUUUUAAGAUGGGAAUUGCUUUGGAUACUGUCGGGCUUGAGUGCAGGAGAGGUAAGUGGAAUUCCCAGUGUAGCGGUGAAAUGCGUAGAGAUUGGGAGGAACACCAGUGGCGAAGGCGACUUACUGGACUGUAACUGACGCUGAGGCGCGAAAGUGUGGGGAGCAAACAGGAUUAGAUACCCUGGUAGUCCACACUGUAAACGAUGAAUGCUAGGUGUAAGAGGUAUCGACCCCUUUUGUGCCGGAGUCAACAAAAUAAGCAUUCCGCCUGGGGAGUACGGCCGCAAGAUUGAAACUCAAAGGAAUUGACGGGG
rnacentral:rRNA from 1 species